rnacentral:rRNA from 1 species
CAGGUGGCGCAUGGUUGUCGUCAGCUCGUGUCGUGAGAUGUUUGGGUUAAGUUCCCGCACCGAGCGCAACCCCUUGAUUUUUAGUUGCCAGCAUUCAGUUGGGCACUUAAGGUGACUGCCGGUGACAAACCGGAGGAAGGUGGGGAUGACGUCAAAUCAUCAUGCCCCUUAUGACCUGGGCUACACACGUGCUACAAUGGACAGAACAAAGGGCAGCGAAACCGCGAGGUUAAGCCAAUCCCACAAAUCUGUUCUCAGUUCGGAUCGCAGUCUGCAACUCGACUGCGUGAAGCUGGAAUCGCUAGUAAUCGCGGAUCAGCAUGCCGCGGUGAAUACGUUCCCGGGCCUUGUACACACCGCCCGUCACACCACGAGAGUUUG